rnacentral:rRNA from 1 species
AGAGCGCAGGGAGGAUGCCUUGGCAUCAGGAGCCGAAGAAGGACGUGAUAAGCUGCGAAAAGCUACGGGGAUUGGCAAGCACGAUAUGAUCCGUAGAUAUCCGAAUGGAGCAAUCCACAUGGAGUCAAGUCCAUGUAUCAUAUACUGAAUAAAUAGGUAUAUGAGGGGAACCGCCCGAACUGAAACAUCUAAGUAGGGCGAGGAAAAGAAAUCAACCGAGAUUCUGUGAGUAGUGGCGAGCGAAAGCGGAAGAGGCUAAACCGAGAGGAGCAAUCCUUUCGGGGUUUAGGACUGCAUUUAGUACAACGAUUGUUAACCGAACAGCAUGGGAAGGCUGAUCAAAGAAGGUGAGAAUCCUGUAGGUGAAAAUGAAAGUUGACGAGCAGUAUCCAAAGUACCGCGGGGCACGUGAAAUCCCGUGGGAAGAUGGGGGGACCAUCCUCCAAGCCUAAAUACUACCUGAUGACCGAUAGCGAAAAGUACUGUGAAGGAAAGGUGAAAAGCACCCCGGGAGGGGAGUGAAAGAGAACCUGAAACCCUGUGCUUACAAGCACUUAGAGCACGUCAAAGUGUGAUAAGGUACCUAUUGUAGAAUGGUCCGGCGAGUUAUUGUAUGCAGCGAGGUUAAGUAGUUCAGCUACGGAGCCGAAGUGAGAGCGAGUGUUAACAGCACGUUCAGUUGCAUGCAAUAGACCCGAAACCGGGUGACCUAUCCAUGUCCAGGAUGAAGUGAGGGUAAAACCUCAUGGAGGUCCGAACCCACUCCCGUUGAAAUGGUAGGGGAUGAGGUGUGGAUAGCGGAGAAAUUCCAAUCGAACCCGGAUAUAGCUGGUUCUCCCCGAAAUAGUUUUAGGACUAGCCUCGUGAUUAAGAUUAUCGGAGGUAAAGCACUGAAUGGCCUAGGGGUCGAGAGAUUACCGAAGCCUAUCAAACUCUGAAUGCCGAAUAAUCAUGCACGGGAGUCAGACUGUGUGAGAUAAGUUUCAUAGUCGAAAGGGAAACAGCCCAGACCUACAGCUAAGGUCCCAAAGUACGUUUAAGUGGAAAACGAUGUGAAAUUGCGUAGACAACCAGGAUGUUGGCUUAGAAGCAGCCAUACAUUAAAAGAGUGCGUAAUAGCUCACUGGUCGAGUGACUUUGCGCGGAAAAUUUAACGGGGCUAAAACGUACACCGAAGCUUAGGCUUGCAACUAUGUUGCAGGGGUAGGGGAGCGUUGAAUGAGGGGUGAAGUCGUAGCGAAAGCGACGGUGGACUUCAUUCAAGUGAGAAUGCCGGAAUGAGUAGCGAGAAUUAUGUGAGAAUCAUAAUGGCCGAAAGCCUAAGGUUUUUGGAGGAAGGUUCGUCCGCUCCAAGUAAGUCGGAAGCUAAGGUGAGGCUGAAAAGCGUAGCCGAUGCACAAACGGUUGAAAUUCCGUUACCACAGAAAGAUUUAAACUAAGGGACACUUUUGAAGAGCUGAUGCCGGGUGUUGGUUACCCCGGUCGUAAGGGAACGAAAUCAAGUAGUGAAGUCAGCGUGGAUGAAGGCGAGAAAAGCUUAGUGUAUAUCUUAUGUGUCCGUACCGCAAACCGACACAGGUAGGUAGGAAGAGAAUUCUAAGGCCAACGGGAGAAGGGUAGUUAAGGAACUCGGCAAAAUGUCCCCGUAACUUCGGAAUAAGGGGAGGUUUCUACGGAAACCCGCAGAGAAUAGUCCCAGGCAACUGUUUAUCAAAAACACAGCUCUAUGCUAAAUCGAAAGAUGACGUAUAUGGGGUGACGCCUGCCCGGUGCCGGAAGGUUAAGAGGAGGAGUGAGAGCCCUGAAUCGAAGCCCCGGUAAACGGCGGCCGUAACUAUAACGGUCCUAAGGUAGCGAAAUUCCUUGUCAGGUAAGUUCUGACCCGCACGAAUGGCGUAAUGAUCUGGGAGCUGUCUCAACUGCCCGCCCGGCGAAAUUGUAGUACCGGUGAAGAUGCCGGUUACCCGCGACUAGACGGAAAGACCCCAUGGAGCUUUACUGUAGCUUAAUAUUGGAUUUCGGCAUUUCAUGUACAGGAUAGGUGGGAGACUAGGAAACAUAGGCGUCAGCUUAUGCGGAGUCGUCCUUGGGAUACCACUCUUGGAGUGCUGAAAUUCUAACCUGCAGCCCUGAAUCGGGUUGGGGGACAUUGUUAGGUGGGCAGUUUGACUGGGGCGGUCGCCUCCAAAAAGGUAACGGAGGCGCUCAAAGGU